CCGGACAUUAGAGUAGGGGAGAACUGUAAAAUUAACAAUGGCGUCAAGCGUCAAGUGAAAACUUGUGAAUCCAUCAACUAUCAUCGUUAUCUGUCUAUAAAUUGAGGUGUAUUCUUCAAAACACAAUACAAACAUUGUCACUGGGGUGUACCAAUGAAAGUGAUUUAGUAUAAACUAAGGAUAUGUGAAUAUUAUUAGGAUGCGAAUUACUUUCUAGUCGCAUAUACAGAGUAAUGUAAUUCUGUUGUUACUUUCGGCUUCUAAGCCAAACUAUGAAAAUGUUUUGUAUAUUUUUUAAUACAAAAUCAGCUUAGAACUUCGUAAAUAUUUUAGUAGCCGCUAUGUCUACUAGUUCCAAACGAAGUAUUAAAACAAAAUCACAACAAAUGAUUAAGCUUGAUAAAGCGAAAGAUACUCAAAAGUUGAUCCGUACUGUGUGCGAUGAUUCUAGUUCUGCUGAAGAGACGCAACCUUCAGUUAGGCCCUCUUCUGUGAAUUUAUGCAUGGUAGACCUGAAGGAUUUACAAAAAAGAAAGAGAGAAAAUCGAAAGCACUCUGAAACAAAGUUAAAAAACAGUAGCGAAAGUGGUAAUAGUUCAGCAGAACAAAAUUCUAAAUUAAUUUCAGAUGAUAAUACAAAAUCUAAGAAAAGAAAAACAUCUAAAUUGGCUAAUGAGAAAAUAAUAAAAGAAGUACAAAACAAAACUGUAACCGAGUGUAAUUCAAAGUCGAAGGAAGGAAACAAAUCUAAAUUGACUGAUGAUGAUACGAUCAAAAAAUUACAAAACAGGACAAAUGUUUCGUUGUCGGAAGACUGCAAUGACAGCGACAGCGAAAAGCAGGAAAUAUCGCGUAAAGAGCAAUUAAAAUUAAGCAAACAUAGAAAAAAUACGAAAAGUAUGAAAGUUAAAAACGAUGGAAAAAAACAGAAAAGCAGAAACGAAGAAUCGGAAAGUAGCGAUUCAGAGGUUGAGACUUAUGAAAAGCAAACUAGGAAAACAAGAAAAGAACACAUAAACUUUUCUAAAGAGGAUGUCAUCUCUAGUUCUGGCGAAGAAUUCCAGAAAUCAAAAUUUUCUCAUAUUAGUUCUAGUUACAAGAGAAAGUUAUUUCAAGGCAAAGGGGACCAUAUGUCAUCUACUAAGUCAAGUUUAACAUUCGAAAAACAGGCAGAAGGUAGAACCGAGAUAAGCAAAGAACAAAGUUUGCUUUUCAAGUCUCGUGUUAUUAAAAUUUUAAAUAGAUUUAAGGAAGCCUGUUCGGAAUACGAGCUAUCUAUGGAACGCAUACAAUGGAAAUAUUUAAAAAAGGAUUUAGGAAAUCAAGCAUCUGCAAAUAACGUAAUACUUAAAUCGAGGAACGUAAUUACGAAAUUUAAAAGUGACCUUGAUACACAAGAGAAAGAUUUAGUAAAUUUCUAUGAUGAAUGGAGUAAAAGAUGCAAAUUACGAAAUGUAGAUUACGAAUCUAAUUUCUCAAAUGAAAAUGAAGUAUCGCGAACAACAGACUCUAAAAAAAAAUCUAGUUUGCCAAAGAAGAAAUCAUUCUUAGAGGAAGAAUGUUUAGUUUCGGAAUGCGAUAGCGAAGAAAUAUUUUCUGGUGAUGAAAAAAAAUGUACUAAAAUAACUGGUGACAAAAAUAAGGAAGCGGAAGUUUCGAUGCCUGAUCAAACAUCGGAACGAUCGGCGAGUGACAGUAAUGAAAACGUGUCAUCCUCGGAAGAUAAUCGGGUUGUUUCUCCUAUUUUAGUCGAUAAAAAGAGAAAGGCAACGUCUGAUAAAUCAGAUGUAAAAGAUAAAUCAAAAAUUGUUGAGGCACGCAUGGAGACUUCCGAGGAUAAUCAAGAAGAUUCGAGUAAUCUUGACGUCAAUAAUUCUUUACAAGAUAUAUUCGAAGAAUCAACUGAGAAAGUUGAUGGUGUUAACGUUGCAAAUGAAAAGAAAAGCGAAUCUGAGAAAGAGAGUGAUCCAGAAAAAGGUAUCGAUGAAAUGGUAACUACAAAAACCAGCGUUAACGAAGAUAAAACUUUGCCGGAAACUAAAGAAUUGAGUGUUAAAUCUGAUGAUAAACAUUUAGAUGUAGAUAAUGUGAAAGCAAAUACACCCGACUCCUUUUUUUCUCAAGAAACGUUAACAUCAAAAGUAGACGACAAUGAAUCGAUUGCAACAGUUGGGAUUGAAAGAGAGGAAAAUAAUAGUUUAGAUAAUCUAAAUGAUGAAGAAGCAGCUAAAAAAGCAAUGUUAGAAUCAGAUUCGGAUAUAUUUCCAAAUGAAAAAUCUAUCCAAAUUUCUACAGAAGGUAAUUUAAAUGAUAAAUCGAAAGUACAAUUUGAGAAAAUAAAGUCCACGAGAAAGGAAGAAGCAAAUGAAAGAAUAGCUAAUUCCAGCGACAAAGACAAUUCGUCGAGCAAACAAGAGGAUGUGGAUAUAGAUGCAGAAUUAUAUGCUAAGCAUGCUCUUCUUGAAUCGAAUUCAGAUGAUUCUAUGAGUCCAUCUUCUUCAAAAGAAAUGUCCGAUAAAACUCACAAUUCUGAUACUAGUAGUAAGGACAAGUAUGCAAAGGCAGCGUUAUUAGCUUCGUCGGACAGUGAAAGCUUAAGCUCUGAUAGCAACUGCAGUUUACAAAAUACAAACGUAGAUUCGUCUUUGAAGAAACAGAAGGAAGAGAGGAAAAAAAAUUCUUUGCAAGUUGAAGAUAUAUCGACGUUUGACACUAGUGUCAGCGAAAGGGUGAAGAAAAGACGAACUCGUUUAAGCUUAAAAUGUGGUUUAGAGAAUGAUGAAAAAUUGAAAAUGCGUUGUCAUGUUGUUAUUGAAAAAUUACCGAAACACAUUCUAAAGAAGCACGCAAGUGCAUUGGAGAAGUCACGACAAGAUUUAGAUAAUAAGGAAAUAAAAAGUCUUACAAAUUUAGAGAGUCUUAAAAGAGACAUCAAGAAAAAAAAUUCCUCGCGUCAUUCCUCUUUUGUAAAAAAGACUAAAGGAAAGGAAACCGAAGAGACUCUAUUGGAUCAUUUAAAGAGAGUGGAAAACGGAGAAUUUGUUGACAAUUCUAAAGAAGACUCGGAUUUGGAAAGCAUGAAUCUAUCUACAAAAGCAAAAACUACUAUACAAACUAACGAAGAUUUAAUGAAGGAAGCAGAUAUGGCUACAAAAAAAAUGCUUUUAGAUUCUACCGAUUCGGAUAACGAACAAAAAAAGACUUCGGAAAGCAACAAUAGUGAACAGGAGGGAAAUGAUGGUAAAACAAACGAUGAGAAAAAGGAAUCAUCAAAGAAAACAAAACAAAAUAGUUCGACGAACAAUGAGGAUGACGAAGAGGAACGAGAAAAAGGGAAAUGGAGGCGAAACAAAAUAUUGACAAUGAAGUUCUCAGAUUCCGAUUCGGAUGUUGCAAAGGAGAAGUUGGAGAAGAAAAAACAAAAAUUACGAGAAAAAGAAGAAGAAAAUCAUACAGAUUCUUCGGACGAGAACGCGGUUAUUAAACGUAAAAGAAGAAAUCGUAAAAUUGUCGAUUCUGAUUCAGACCUACAGUUAGUGACUUCUGAUUCAGAUUCCAGUAGUUUAAUAAUAGUGAAAGAUAAUAAAUCUUCGGACAGUGAUUUUUCGGUAGGAAGAAAACAAAACAAGAUAUCUAAACGUAAAACACAUAAAUCUUCUGAUUCGGAUUCUUCGCCUGUAGAAAAGAGACCAAAAAAGAAGAGAAAACGUAUUAGAAAUAUGGACAGCGAUAGCGAAGAUAAUUCCGAUGAUCUUAUGAGCUCUCAAGGAACACCUGGGAAGAAAGGUCGUAAAAACAUUCGGAAAGUACUAAAAGAUAAACACAUUGCAGACGAUACAAAACAAGCUGCAAAGGAAGAAGAGGAGAGACUUAAACGCAUCGCUGAACGACAAAAAGUAUACAAUGAAAUGUAUGAAGCAAGGUUGGCUGGCGAGGAAAAAGUAGAUAAAUUGGUGUUAGAUUUUGAUCCUGAAACAAAAGAAGAACUAUUAAGUGUUCACAAGGAUUUGGUAAAGCGUUUGAAACCACAUCAAGCAAAAGGAAUAAAGUUUAUGUGGGACGCCUGUUUUGAAUCCCUUGAAAGGAUGAAAACUUCUUCAGGAUCUGGAUGUAUAAUUGCGCAUUGCAUGGGACUUGGAAAAACCCUUCAAGUAAUUGCUCUAAUACAUACGCUUUUAACACACGAAAAAACUGGUAUCAACACUAUCAUGGUCGUUUGUCCCUUAUCUACGGUACUUAACUGGUACAAUGAAUUUAAUUUAUGGCUAAAGGACGUUGAUAACGGGGACAUUGAUAUUUUUGAAUUGACUAAAUACAAACAAAAUGUAGAACGAGCAACUUUACUAAAAUCUUGGCAGAGAUCUGGUGGUGUACUUAUUAUUGGUUACGAGAUGUUCAGAAAUCUUAGCGGAGCCAAUAAUAGAAUGCGAAAAGCUAUGAAAGAAGAAAUCCUACAGUGUUUGAUUGAUCCUGGUCCAGAUUUGAUAGUUUGCGAUGAAGGUCAUUUAUUGAAAAAUGAAGAUAGCGCUCUUAGUAAAUCUAUCAAGCGUAUUAAAACGUUACGAAGAAUUGUACUCACGGGAACACCGUUGCAGAACAAUUUAAUAGAAUAUCAUUGUAUGGUACAAUUCAUAAAACCUAACCUUCUAGGAACGAGGAAGGAAUUUUUAAACAGAUUUGCAAAUCCGAUAACCAAUGGCCAAUUCGAUGAUUCUACCGAAAGUGACGUUAAACUAAUGAAAAAACGUGCUUACGUUUUGCACAAAAUGUUGAAAGGGAGUGUACAGAGAUUUGAUUACUCUGUAUUAAUGCCCUUUCUACCACCGAAACAUGAAUAUGUAAUUUUUGUGAGUUUAACCGAUGUACAAAUUAAAAUGUAUCAGCACUAUUUGGAUAACUUUGCGAGACAACAACGUGCCGCUGGUGGAUCACUUUUUGCAGAUUUUCAAGUAUUACAAAGAAUAUGGACGCAUCCCAUGGUUUUACGUUUAAACUCAGAAAAGAAUGAAAAAGCGAGAGAAAAGAAAUAUUCUUCGACUGAUACCGAAGGUUCUUUGAGGAAUUUCAUUGAUGAUGGUAGUAACUCUGAGUCUGAUAGUAGUAGUUCAAGUAAUACGACGGACGAUGACGUUAAAAGCAUCAAUUCCAAUUAUUCGACAAAAAAUAGGAGAAGUACAAGAAAUAAUAACAUAGACGUUGAAGAAGAUUUGAAACUAGAGGAACCCGAAAAGAAAGAAGAGGAAUGGUGGUUACAGUUUACUCAACCCGAAGAUUUCGAUGACAUGAGGAUUUCCGCUAAAUUGAUGCUCCUUUUUGGUAUUUUAAAGGAAUGCGGACAAAUAGGUGACAAAGUAUUGAUAUUUUCACAGUCUUUAUAUUCAUUGACUUUAAUUGAGCAGUUUCUUGAAAAAAUCGAUGAUGCAACGCAAAACGAUACAUCUUCGGAAUACCUUGUCGGACACAGAGACAGUUGGACGGUAGGUUUGGAUUAUUUUCGACUGGAUGGUCAAACCUCUGCCGAUAACAGAAAUAGAUGGUGUAAAAUAUUUAAUAAACCAUCGAACACAAGAGCCAGAUUAUUCUUGAUAUCGACGCGAGCAGGAGGAUUAGGAAUCAAUUUAACUGCUGCCAAUCGUGUCAUUAUAUUCGAUGCAAGCUGGAAUCCUUCCCACGACGUUCAAAGUAUAUUUCGUGUAUAUAGGUUCGGGCAGAAAAAACCGUGCUACAUCUAUCGGUUUUUAGCGGCUGGAACAAUGGAAGAAAAAAUAUAUAAUCGACAAGUGACAAAGUUGUCGCUUUCCUGCAGAGUUGUUGACGAACAACAAAUAGAACGUCAUUAUAGCAAUAACGAUUUAAGCGAGUUGUAUAAGUUCGAACCGAAUACGUCUGGCGAAAAACCAACUUUAAAUUUACCGAAAGACAGAGUACUAGCAGAAAUAUUUUUGAAAUAUAAAAAUUUCGUGGAGAAUUACCAUGAACAUGAUUCUCUUCUGGAAAACAAGACUGAAGAAGAAUUAGACGAAGAAGAGAGAAAGCAAGCUUGGUUAGAAUACGAGGAAGAGAAGAAAGGAAAACCGAUGCAAAUGUAUCCAACGGUGGCACCUAUUUCAAAUAGCGCAUUUUUAAAUCAUUAUGGCUUGCCAGCAUCGGGACAUCUUGGUACAGAUUACGAAAAGUUUAGAGAACUCAUUCGCAAAGACUAUCCCAAUGCAACACCAGAGUUUCAACAAAUGAUGACAGCGAAGGCGUUAACGGACAUGUACAAUUAUUGGGAACGACAGACUUUCCAGAAUACUUCUUCAAAUCAAAUGACUUAUCAGAACGCAGGAGUAAUGCCAACACAGUUGAGAACACAAGUGCCGAAUUUGAGUAGAAUGCCACUUUUACAGAAUCUUAAUACAAUAAAUAUCAAUGGUCAAACAAGGGAUGAGCUUCCGAUUACUAAUCAAAGUAAUGGCCCUAAAUCUAGGAAUGGUGACGACGACGUUGUAGAGAUCACUUCAACUGCAGUUAGUAAGACAAAUAAGACCCAAGAAGAGUGAACAGCGUGAACAAAAUAAAUGUUAGUAAACUAGAUAAUCGCAAUGGUCAUGUUGUAUUGUUCUAGGUUUAAACGGUAGCCAAGCAGUAUAACGAUAUCUAUUUGACCUGAGAGUAUAUCCCAUAGCUUUAAUCUGUUUCAAACGUGGUUCAUCGCUGUUUGGAUUUAUCGAAGGUUCGACACUUGGUCUUGGAUACUGUCCAAAGGCCGCUUUUUUCCAUGUUAGGGUCUGUAAGUUGAUAAAUAUAAAUAUCGAAAAUUCAAAUUUUUAAUACACUGUUUAUAACAUGGUAUCUAAUUACUUAAAUACAUGUCACUACGAAAGAUUAAGGUCACUAAACAA